rnacentral:pre_miRNA from 1 species
UUUGUACUCCCUUCGUCCCAAAAUUCUUGUCUUAAAUUUGUCUAAAUACGGAUGUAUCUAGUUACAUUUUAGUGUUAGAUACAUCCGUAUC